UAUAAUCACAUGAUUAGCCGUUUCGCUGAUGACAAAAUAUGCGGUUUUUAUUGAAUCUUCAACGCACAUUUUCUGACAGUCCAUGCUCGGGGAAUUCCACGUUCGGAGGAUGCUUGGAUUUCGCGAGUCGUCAUUAGCUCUGGGAGAUAUCGAUCGUUUGCAGAGACGUAAAAGGAAAAGAAAGAUAAUAUAAGUCGUCGCCAUCAUUAUUACUAAUUAGGAGCAAAAAUAUUGGAAAAUUCGCAUGCGAUUGUUCGCCUAAGUUUGUUUAAAGGUUCAAACUAUAAAAAACGAAACAUAAAUACAGGAGUCAAGCUGGUUUUGUGUGUUUGCGUAAAAUUUAUAAUAAUCUACAAGUAUAAAAACCUUCGUGUUUCUGCUAAAUCAAUACAAUUCAUUGUCAAAAAUCGGCAGCAGAAUUUAGUGUGAUGUAACGGAAGCAAAUUUCAGACAGGUAUAUAAAAAAAAUUUAAUGUACAUUUAAUGUAAAUUUAACGUUGUCUAAGUUGCACUAAAGUUCAUGCACACGCUUUACAGUUAUAGAUAUAUUAAAUUUAACGUACAACUUAAAAAUACAUCGAAUGACACUUUUAACAGUGUAUUCCUUUCUACUAUAUUUGUGCUGCGAAAGUAUUCUUUUCCAAGAUGAUAACAACAAAUCGUUGCCAUCAGUACUGCUGAUUGAUAGCGAAAAUACUCGAAGAUUCGCAUACGCACGACCGCUAUCGAAUUACUGGAAGAGGGAGAGAGGGUUAAAACGCGCGCGGAGGGUUAAAACGCGCGAAAGUGUCACCUUGACCAUAUUUAUUUAUAGGGGCGGCACUAGGUCGACUCGCGCACCCUCAAAUAUUCUGGAACCGGGGCACGUCGCAUCCCGUCCCAUCCCAUCCCAUCUCAUCCCGUCCCAUCUCAUCCCGCCGCCGUGUCGCGACCGGCCGGGCCGGGCCGGACGGUGCACCUCUUCUCCAUCAAAACAAUUCGAUAUAUCGAUUAUACCACACCGGUACGGGCGGCUGAGUGUUUCUCUCUCUCUCUCUCUCUCUCUCGUUCUUUUUUCUCGGAACGCCCCUUGGAGCACCAACCCUCUCCCGGCUUUCUACGCGCGUCACGAAAAAUUGCGCCGUUGGUCGCACCCUCCGAGCACCCGCGCUCGCUUCUCGCCCAUCUGCGCGGCCUAACAAUUAGCUCCGCGUUUCCCGUCAGACGUAGAUUACCGUCGUUGCUCUGAUUUACUAGGGAUGGCAAGCGACGCGUUACAAGUAACGAAUUACUCCCAUUUUUCUCCUCAACUUGAAUUGAACUUCUUCAGCUCAAGUAUUUGUAUAUUUAAGUUAAAUAUAUAAAUGCUUAAACUGAAGUUCAAGAUCUCAUGUAUUUAAGUUGAAUAUUUCAACUGAAGAAAUUUAAUCUACACUCGUUGUUAGUCAAAAGUAAGCGGUACGGCAGAAAAAUUGGAAAAGUUUACGAAACUUCAAACUUGUAUCUCAGUGAAUAAUUAUAAUACAGAGAUGUUAAAAAAAAAAAAACGAACAUCAAGCUUGCAGUCUGUACUUUGAAAGACUUUCAAUGUCGAAUGAAUAUCGAAGUAUCAUCAAUAAUUUUCCAAUGGCCGAUAGAGUUGAUAGAAUCGAGGACUACAGAAUUGACAAGUAGAACAUUCUGUUUCUGGAGUUGCAAUUGACACAGUUCAGUGGAAUGAAAAGGGCGUGAAAUUUCAAAAUGCAUUUGUGCAGAACCCGAUACGAUAAGUUAUGUCAUUCUAAAAAAAAAUGAGUUUUCGUACGAAACAACGAUAAUUGUGAAAUGUAAUGCCGUCAUUAUCAAUUCAACCCAUUGCAAUUCUGUCUAAGACAUUUCGCGUUGGUUGUUUGAAAUGGAAAUGAGAAAUUAAUUUUUUUUCUAAUUUUAUGCGUUAAAAGUUAAUUACAAGUCACAUUUUAAUGUACGAACUUUAUGUUCAUUUAUAUGACAACAUGUCUUUUGCCAAAGGUCUAGCUCACAGGAACAAAAGAGUAAUGAAAAAUAUUAAAAAAAAUCUCGUAAAUCUGGAAAUACUGAGAUCUUAUUUUAAACACAGAAAGCGAGCGAGAAAAUGAGAAUCUUGGAAAAGAAUAGAUUUAUCUUCAUAAACCGGAAAUUAAACUGCAAUUGAAACCUUUUUGCUAAAACCCAUUUGACAUUUCCUGAAAAACUUUCUCUACUAUUUUCCCUUCUAGGGAACGCUCCGAAGAAAGCGUAGAAAUUCUGAUUUCACGAUAUAUUGAACUCGAGAACUAUUGCAGCUCAAUACUUUCCCUUCCCCAAAAAGUUUUCAGACGAAAAACAGGGAGAAGAGAAGCUGCUGAAAAAUGUUCCGAUAGAAAUACGACAGCUAUUGUCUCCAACUGAUGCAAUACGAGUUUUGUCGAGCUGAACGGAAUUUCGAUCGAGACAUACAUCGCGCUGAAACAAUCCGAAAGAAGCCUGGCUUCGAAGUGGACCGUAAUAUAAUUCAGAUGAAUAAAAUUCCUGUCCGAGGACCUAAUCCAAAAAAAGGCUUUCAGCUAGACAAUCCAGAGACAAAAUAUUAAAACACAACGAUUCCCGAACAACUGCAACGUGAAAUAGAAUUUUCUACGCGCUAAUUUUCAGAGGAGAAAACCAAGUCGUAAGUUAUAUGUUAGACGAGAUAAUCGACGAGAUACAACGAAACAUGACACAAUGGAGGGAUCCCGUCGCCACCGCUCCUUUGACGCAAAUAUUUCUCAUUACAUUCCAAGGUUCCUUCUUUUAUUCGGUCGGGUCAAACCAGAGAAUCUAUUACCUGAGUGCGAUUUUCGUACAUUUUGAUUUACAA
rnacentral:lncRNA from 13 species